UUAAAUUGAAGAGUUUGAUCAUGGCUCAGAUUGAACGCUGGCGGCAGGCCUAACACAUGCAAGUCGAACGGUAACAGGAAGAAGCUUGCUUCUUUGCUGACGAGUGGCGGACGGGUGAGUAAUGUCUGGGAAACUGCCUGAUGGAGGGGGAUAACUACUGGAAACGGUAGCUAAUACCGCAUAA
rnacentral:rRNA from 1 species